UGUAUCGUGUUUGUAUCAUACAUCAAUGUAUCGUGUUUGUAUCAUACAUCAAUGUAUCGUGUUUGUAUCAUACAUCAAUGAUCGUGCUUGUAUUUACAUCGAUGUAUCUUGUUUGUAUUAUACAACAAUGUAUCGUGUUUGUAUUAUACAUCGAUGUAUCGUGUUUGUAUUAUACAUCAAUGUAUUGUGUUUGUAUUAUACAUCAAUGUAUCAUGUUUGUAUUGUACACCAAUGUAUCGUGUUUGUAGUAUACAACAAUGUAUUGUGUUUGUAUUAUACAUCAAUGUAUCGUGUUUGUAUUAUACAUCAAUGUAUUGUGUUUGUAUUAUACAUCAAUGUAUCAUGUUUGUAUUGUACACCAAUGUAUCGUGUUUGUAGUAUACAACAAUGUAUUGUGUUUGUAUUAUACAUCAAUGUAUCCUGUUUGUAUUAUACAUCAAUGUAUCGUGUUUGUAUCAUACAUCAAUGUAUCGUGUUUGUAUUAUACAUCAAUGUAUCAUGUUUGUAUUAUACAACAAUAUAUCCUAUUUGUAUCAUACAUCAAUGUAUCGUGAUAAAGACCAACUUACAAAUGUACCAUUUUAAUCCGUUGCAGUUCUACGUCAUUUCGAGAAAGAAACUCUUUUUAUUUAUCUAUACAUGUAUUUUGAGUUUUGAUUGAACACCAAUAUUUUUCAGAAGAUAUUCUGUCCUCAUAGUUCGAUGUUAUUACCAAAUGUUACUUAGAGAACUGUAACUUACAUGUACACUAUUUUUAUAGUAUAGUAAUGAUAAUAUUUGUAAUAAAAAUAAUUUCCC
rnacentral:sRNA from 1 species